AUUGAGACAAAAAAAAUAAAAAUUACCGCCCAAAUCAAACCCUCCACACUCUACUGUCUCCUACUCUCCUUCCCGUGUACUUUUGGGUAUACUUUUUGAUUUUGCUUUUUUUGUUCCUGAUUACUUUUGGGUAUAAAACUUUAUAUGUUUGUUGUUGCCCUGUAAAUUAAAUUUGAAUACAGAAAGUGGGUGCUUGAUUUUAUACUCAAAGUUUGCUCAUCUUUAUGUUAUACUCAAGGUUUAUUGUAUACAAUCUUUGUUACCAAGAAAAAUCAACUUUGAAGCGAUAAGCUGAGCUCUAGGUCUUCUAAUAAAAAAAGAUAGUCUUUGAAGCGGCGUCAUUGAGCUCUGGGUCUUUUUUCUUGCAAUGACGGUGGAUUCAAGGGAAAAGGUGAGAUUUUAUUCUCUAAUUCUAAGCUGCAUUUUAGUGUUUCUUCGUACCCAUCUCUUUGCAUUUAUCUUAAAAAUCGUUCUGCUUUGUGUUAGCAUAAUAAUUAGCAUAAUUUUGUUUAAUUAAAGUUGGUUAAUGAGUGGAAAAAAGGAAUAAAGGCAUAUUUGCAACAUAAAGGCUUUUUUUAGAACGGAAGGGUAAACACUAUUUACUGUUUUUGCAGAAGGAAUGGAGAAUGACAUGCUUUUGUUUUUCUCUUUUGCUUCUCUAAACAACGAAGAGUACUUAAGAGUACCCAAGUGUUGUUUGGCAUCAUGGAGCUGCAAAACAUGCUUGAAAAGUGUUUUCUAUUUUCUAUUCUGUUUGUUUGUUAUAGUGCAACCGAUUUUUGUGACUUGAAGAAUUUAUAGUGAAUACAACUCAGUCCAUAUGCCUUGGAGAAUACAGAAGAUGAGAGUGAAUUUACUUCCACUGUUUGAGUUAUGUAUCAUUUUAUUAUCCCCCUUUCUUGGAGGAGAAGAUGAGAAUCACUACACAUGACUAAUUUAACAAUGAGAAUGAGAAUGGCUAAUUUGAGUUAUGUAUCAUUUCACAUAAUAAGUGAUAUGUAUUAUGUAAACUUAACAAAUGCAUG
rnacentral:lncRNA from 1 species